AUUGAACGCUGGCGGUAUGCUUAACACAUGCAAGUCGAACGGUAACAGGCCUUCGGGCGCUGACGAGUGGCGGACGGGUGAGUAACGCGUAGGAAUCUGCCUCAUAGUGGGGACAACGUGGGGAAACUCACGCUAAUACCGCAUACGCCCUACGGGGGAAAGCGGGGGAUCUUCGGACCUCGCGCUAUGAGAUGAGCCUGCGUUAGAUUAGCUAGUUGGUAGGGUAAAGGCCUACCAAGGCGACGAUCUAUAGCUGGUCUGAGAGGACGAUCAGCCACACUGGGACUGAGACACGGCCCAGACUCCUACGGGAGGCAGCAGUGGGGAAUAUUGGACAAUGGGCGCAAGCCUGAUCCAGCAAUACCGCGUGUGUGAAGAAGGCCCUAGGGUUGUAAAGCACUUUCAAUUGGGAGGAAAACCUGCCCGGUCAAUACCCGGCAGCUUGACAUUACCUUUAGAAGAAGCACCCGGCUAACUCCGUGCCAGCAGCCGCGGUAAU
rnacentral:rRNA from 1 species